rnacentral:rRNA from 1 species
CACACAUGCUGUGAGCUCGAUGAGUAAGGCGGGACACGUGGUAUCCUGUCUGAAUAUGGGGGGACCAUCCUCCAAGGCUAAAUACUCCUGACUGACCGAUAGUGAACCAGUACCGUGAGGGAAAGGCGAAAAGAACCCCGGCGAGGGGAGUGAAACAGAACCUGAAACCGUGUACGUACAAGCAGUGGGAGCCUUCUUUAUGGGGGUGACUGCGUACCUUUUGUAUAAUGGGUCAGCGACUUAUAUUCUGUAGCAAGGUUAACCGUAUAGGGGAGCCGCAGGGAAACCGAGUCUUAACUGGGCGUUAAGUUGCAGGGUAUAGACCCGAAACCCGGUGAUCUAGCCAUGGGCAGGUUGAAGGUUGGGUAACACUAACUGGAGGACCGAACCGACUAAUGUUGAAAAAUUAGCGGAUGACCUGUGGCUGGGGGUGAAAGGCCAAUCAAACCGGGAGAUAGCUGGUUCUCCCCGAAAGCUAUUUAGGUAGCGCCUCGUGAACUCAUCUUCGGGGGUAGAGCACUGUUUCGGCUAGGGGGCCAUCCCGGCUUACCAACCCGAUGCAAACUGCGAAUACCGAAGAAUGUUAUCACGGGAGACACACGGCGGGUGCUAACGUCCGUCGUGAAGAGGGAAACAACCCAGACCGCCAGCUAAGGUCCCAAAGUCAUGGUUAAGUGGGAAACGAUGUGGGAAGGCACAGACAGCCAGGAUGUUGGCUUAGAAGCAGCCAUCAUUUAAAGAAAGCGUAAUAGCUCACUGGUCGAGUCGGCCUGCGCGGAAGAUGUAACGGGGCUAAACCAUGCACCGAAGCUGCGGCAGCGACACUUAUGUGUUGUUGGGUAGGGGAGCGUUCUGUAAGCCGUCGAAGGUGUGCUGUGAGGCAUGCUGGAGGUAUCAGAAGUGCGAAUGCUGACAUAAGUAACGAUAAAGCGGGUGAAAAGCCCGCUCGCCGGAAGACCAAGGGUUCCUGUUCAACGUUAAUCGGAGCAGGGUGAGUCGACCCCUAAGGCGAGGCCGAAAGGCGUAGUCGAUGGGAAACAGGUUAAUAUUCCUGUACUCGGUGUUACUGCGAAGGGGGGACGGAGAAGGCUAUAUC